GAGUUUGAUCGUGGCUCAGGAUGAACGCUGGCGGCGUGCCUAAUACAUGCAAGUCGAGCGAACAGACGAGGAGCUUGCUCCUCUGACGUUAGCGGCGGACGGGUGAGUAACACGUGGAUAACCUACCUAUAAGACUGGGAUAACUUCGGGAAACCGGAGCUAAUACCGGAUAAUAUAUUGAACCGCAUGGUUCAAUAGUGAAAGACGGUUUUGCUGUCACUUAUAGAUGGA
rnacentral:rRNA from 1 species